CUUAUAUAUUAAUGUGUGUGUGUGUGUGUCUGGUGUACGUAUAUGUGUGUACACACACACACACACACACACAGUAUAUAUG